UCUAAGGCUAGUAUAGAAAAGAGUACGCUCUGUUUACACUGGAGAGGGGCUUGUGGCGUCUUUGAG
rnacentral:tRNA from 1 species